rnacentral:rRNA from 1 species
GAUGAACGCUGGCGGCGUGCCUAAUACAUGCAAGUCGAGCGAACGGACGAGAAGCUUGCUUUUCUGAUGUUAGCGGCGGACGGGUGAGUAACACGUGGAUAACCUACCUAUAAGACUGGGAUAACUUCGGGAAACCGGAGCUAAUACCGGAUAAUAUUUUGAACCGCAUGGUUCAAAAGUGAAAGACGGUCUUGCUGUCACUUAUAGAUGGAUCCGCGCUGCAUUAGCUAGUUGGUAAGGUAACGGCUUACCAAGGCAACGAUGCAUAGCCGACCUGAGAGGGUGAUCGGCCACACUGGAACUGAGACACGGUCCAGACUCCUACGGGAGGCAGCAGUAGGGAAUCUUCCGCAAUGGGCGAAAGCCUGACGGAGCAACGCCGCGUGAGUGAUGAAGGUCUUCGGAUCGUAAAACUCUGUUAUUAGGGAAGAACAGAUGUGUAAGUAACUGUGCACAUCUUGACGGUACCGAAUCAGAAAGCCACGGCUAACUACGUG